GAUGAACGCUAGCUACAGGCUUAACACAUGCAAGUCGAGGGGCAGCAUUUCAGUUUGCUUGCAAACUGGAGAUGGCGACCGGCGCACGGGUGAGUAACACGUAUCCAACCUGCCGAUAACUCGGGGAUAGCCUUUCGAAAGAAAGAUUAAUACCCGAUGGUAUAAUCAGACCGCAUGGUCUUGUUAUUAAAGAAUUUCGGUUAUCGAUGGGGAUGCGUUCCAUUAGGCAGUUGGUGAGGUAACGGCUCACCAAACCUUCGAUGGAUAGGGGUUCUGAGAGGAAGGUCCCCCACAUUGGAACUGAGACACGGUCCAAACUCCUACGGGAGGCAGCAGUGAGGAAUAUUGGUCAAUGGGCGCAGGCCUGAACCAGCCAAGUAGCGUGAAGGAUGACUGCCCUAUGGGUUGUAAACUUCUUUUAUAUGGGAAUAAAGUUUUCCACGUGUGGAAUUUUGUAUGUACCAUAUGAAUAAGGAUCGGCUAACUCCGUGCCAGCAGCCGCGGUAAUACGGAGGAUCCGAGCGUUAUCCGGAUUUAUUGGGUUUAAAGGGAGCGUAGGUGGACAGUUAAGUCAGUUGUGAAAGUUUGCGGCUCAACCGUAAAAUUGCAGUUGAUACUGGCUGUCUUGAGUACAGUAGAGGUGGGCGGAAUUCGUGGUGUAGCGGUGAAAUGCUUAGAUAUCACGAAGAACUCCGAUUGCGAAGGCAGCUCACUGGACUGCAACUGACACUGAUGCUCGAAAGUGUGGGUAUCAAACAGGAUUAGAUACCCUGGUAGUCCACACAGUAAACGAUGAAUACUCGCUGUUUGCGAUAUACAGUAAGCGGCCAAGCGAAAGCAUUAAGUAUUCCACCUGGGGAGUACGCCGGCAACGGUGAAACUCAAAGGAAUUGACGGGGGCCCGCACAAGCGGAGGAACAUGUGGUUUAAUUCGAUGAUACGCGAGGAACCUUACCCGGGCUUAAAUUGCAUUUGAAUAUAUUGGAAACAGUAUAGCCGUAAGGCAAAUGUGAAGGUGCUGCAUGGUUGUCGUCAGCUCGUGCCGUGAGGUGUCGGCUUAAGUGCCAUAACGAACGCAACCCUUAUCUUUAGUUACUAACAGGUCAUGCUGAGGACUCUAGAGAGACUGCCGUCGUAAGAUGUGAGGAAGGUGGGGAUGACGUCAAAUCAGCACGGCCCUUACGUCCGGGGCUACACACGUGUUACAAUGGGGGGUACAGAAGGCAGCUACCUGGUGACAGGAUGCUAAUCCCAAAAGCCUCUCUCAGUUCGGAUCGAAGUCUGCAACCCGACUUCGUGAAGCUGGAUUCGCUAGUAAUCGCGCAUCAGCCAUGGCGCGGUGAAUACGUUCCCGGGCCU
rnacentral:rRNA from 1 species